GAUGAACGCUGGCGGCGUGCCUAAUACAUGCAGGUCGAGCGAACAGACGAGGAGCUUGCUCCUCUGACGUUAGCGGCGGACGGGUGAGUAACACGUGGAUAACCUACCUAUAAGACUGGGAUAACUUCGGGAAACCGGAGCUAAUACCGGAUAAUAUAUUGAACCGCAUGGUUCAAUAGUGAAAGACGGUUUUGCUGUCACUUAUAGAUGGAUCCGCGCCGCAUUAGCUAGUUGGUAAGGUAACGGCUUACCAAGGCAACGAUGCGUAGCCGACCUGAGAGGGUGAUCGGCCACACUGGAACUGAGACACGGUCCAGACUCCUACGGGAGGCAGCAGUAGGGAAUCUUCCGCAAUGGGCGAAAGCCUGACGGAGCAACGCCGCGUGAGUGAUGAAGGUCUUCGGAUCGUAAAACUCUGUUAUUGGGAAGAACAAAUGUGUAAGUAACUAUGCACGUCUUGACGGUACCUAAUCAGAAAGUCACGGCUAACUACGUG
rnacentral:rRNA from 1 species